rnacentral:rRNA from 1 species
UACGAAGGGGGCUAGCGUUGCUCGGAAUUACUGGGCGUAAAGGGAGCGUAGGCGGGUCGUUAAGUUGGGGGUGAAAGCCCGGGGCUCAACCUCGGAAUUGCCUUCAAAACUGGCGACCUUGAGUAUGGGAGAGGUGAGUGGAACUCCGAGUGUAGAGGUGAAAUUCGUAGAUAUUCGGAAGAACACCAGUGGCGAAGGCGACUCACUGGCCCAUUACUGACGCUGAGGCUCGAAAGCGUGGGGAGCAAACAGG